GAUGAACGCUGGCGGCGUGCCUAAUACAUGCAAGUCGAGCGAACAGACGAGGAGCUUGCUCCUCUGACGUUAGCGGCGGACGGGUGAGUAACACGUGGAUAACCUACCUAUAAGACUGGGAUAACUUCGGGAAACCGGAGCUAAUACCGGAUAAUAUAUUGAACCGCAUGGUUCAAUAGUGAAAGACGGUUUUGCUGUCACUUAUAGGUGGAUCCGCGCCGCAUUAGCUAGUUGGUAAGGUAACGGCUUACCAAGGCGACGAUGCGUAGCCGACCUGAGAGGGUGAUCGGCCACACUGGAACUGAGACACGGUCCAGACUCCUACGGGAGGCAGCAGAAGGGAAUCUUCCGCAAUGGGCGAAAGCCUGACGGAGCAACGCCGCGUGAGUGAUGAAGGUCUUCGGAUCGUAAAACUCUGUUAUUAGGGAAGAACAAAUGUGUAAGUAACUAUGCACGUCUUGACGGUACCUAAUCAGAAAGCCACGGCUAACUACGUG
rnacentral:rRNA from 1 species